rnacentral:ncRNA from 1 species
ACAAUGGUACUCCUGUCCAGCCACAGAAUCACGCAAUGGGGGCAGCCCGGAGAGAUCCUCGGGGAGGUUAGAAUCCUGUGA